rnacentral:rRNA from 1 species
UACGUAGGGGGCUAGCGUUGUCCGGAAUCAUUGGGCGUAAAGCGCGUGUAGGCGGUCCGGUAAGUCCGCUGUGAAAGUCGAGGGCUCAACCCUCGAAUGCCGGUGGAUACUGUCGGGCUUGAGUACGGGAGAGGCGAGUGGAAUUCCUGGUGUAGCGGUGAAAUGCGUAGAUACCAGGAGGAACACCGGUGGCGAAGGCGGUUUCCUGGCCGAGUACUGACGCUGAGGCACGAAAGCGUGGGGAGCGAACGGG